UGGAAAGUCUGCAGUCCUGAG
rnacentral:misc_RNA from 1 species